rnacentral:rRNA from 1 species
UACGAAGGGGGCUAGCGUUGUUCGGAAUUACUGGGCGUAAAGCGCACGUAGGCGGAAUGUUAAGUCAGGGGUGAAAUCCCGGGGCUCAACCCCGGAACUGCCUUUGAUACUGGCGAUCUCGAGUCCGGGAGAGGUGAGUGGAACUGCGAGUGUAGAGGUGAAAUUCGUAGAUAUUCGCAAGAACACCAGUGGCGAAGGCGGCUCACUGGCCCGGUACUGACGCUGAGGUGCGAAAGCGUGGGGAGCAAACAGG